rfam:Asian citrus Psyllid, Diaphorina citri - Florida Strain, whole genome shotgun sequence.
ACCAGCGGCGAUGGCACUUUUAAUGCACCAUUUCCCCACAGAUCACUGAAGUUAAGCAACGUUGCCCGUGGUUAGUACCUGGAUGGUGACCAUCUGGGGAAUCCGCGUGCUGCUGGGU